rnacentral:rRNA from 1 species
AUAGAACGCUGGCGGCAUGCUUUACACAUGCAAGUCGAACGGUAACAGGUUAAGCUGACGAGUGGCGAACGGGUGAGUAAUGCAUCGGAACGUGCCCGGGCGUGGGGGAUAACGCAGCGAAAGCUGCGCUAAUACCGCAUACGAUCUGAGGAUGAAAGCGGGGGACCGUAAGGCCUCGCGCGAUCGGAGCGGCCGAUGUCAGAUUAGGUAGUUGGUGGGGUAAAGGCCUACCAGGCCGACGAGCUGUAGCUGGUCUGAGAGGCCGACCAGCCACACUGGGACUGAGACACGGCCCAGACUCCUACGGGAGGCAGCAGUGGGGAAUUUUGGACAAUGGGCGCAAGCCUGAUCCAGCAAUGCCGCGUGCAGGAAGAAGGCCUUCGGGUUGUAAACUGCUUUUGUACGGAGCGAAAAGGCUCUCUCUAAUACAGGGGGCUCAUGACGGUACCGUAAGAAUAAGCACCGGCUAACUACGUGCCAGCAGCCGCCGUAA